AAGUCGAGGGGCAGCAUGGGGGUUGCUUGCAAUCCCUGAUGGCGACCGGCGCACGGGUGAGUAACACGUAUCCAACCUGCCGACAACUCUGGGAUAGCCUUUCGAAAGAAAGAUUAAUACCGGAUGGCAUAAUUUUCCCGCAUGGUGGAACUAUUAAAGAAUUUCGGUCAUCGAUGGGGAUGCGUUCCAUUAGGUUGUUGGCGGGGUAACGGCCCACCAAAGCGACGAUGGAUAGGGGUUCUGAGAGGAAGGUCCCCACAUUGGAACUGAGACACGGUCCAAACUCC
rnacentral:rRNA from 1 species